AAAGUCGUGUGUUACUAACAAAAAUGGCAAGAAAAAGGCAAUUAACAAUGGGAAAGAGACAGACCAUCAUGACACUUAAAAAUGUAGGUCUUUCCUACAGAGAAAUUGCAAAGAAAGUCAAAGUGUCAGUGAGUACAGUUUCCUUCAUCAUC